rnacentral:rRNA from 1 species
GUCUAGAGCCAUACCACCUUGAACGUGCUUGAUCUUAGAAGCUAAACAGGGUUGGGCUUGGUUAGUACUUGGAUGGGAGACUGCCUGCAACUACUGAGUACUGUAGAUU